rnacentral:sRNA from 1 species
UCGAAUCCAGAGCAACGCGCCAGCGUGUGU